GGGGCCUCAGUUUGUUCGGAAUCAGAUACAACCAUUUGAUCCAUUAUUGUUCGUGGGCAUCAUAUUAAAAAAAAUAUUUUUUGGAUUUUGUAAAGUUUGCGGUUAAUAAGCCGGUGAGAGCUGAUCCUGCAUUUUCUUGACCUCUUUCUCUGUCAGGAGGAUAUUCAAUACCAAGAUUUAUGAUUUGGCAUAAGUGAGAUGACAUACAAGUGAGUUUAAUUCGUGAGAGUGAAAUAGCAACAGUUUUCUUAUCAUACUGCCGGCAGCUGCACCUCAACUGCGGAAAAAGAAAUCUUGAAGAACCAAGACCACCACCAGCUGGAAGAAGGUAAAAAUCCUUUUUUUUCUUCUCCCUCCUCAUUUGAUUUCCAUUUCCUCGCAGCUCUAGGUAAUUUCGUGACCUACCUCUUGGUAAGUCACCUAUCUGCAGAAUGCAUGUAGUGUGUGUGUGUCAGAUAUACAGUGAAAAAACACCACAAUGCAAGUGUCAGAUCCUGUUCUUGGUGCAAUUUUGCCACUAUGUUCUGGACUGUAAGCAACUGCUUCAUGUUAAACUAAAGCUCCAAUCAGGCUUGUGGCUCUUCUGUACCUGUAUGCCUAGAUUAUUUACUAAUGGGAUAUGCACUAGAUCUUCCUGUAUAGAAUCAUCAAUUGCUAGGAAUAGUCAUGGUUUUUAUUAAUUUUUCAUGUUUUUUUAUUUAGUUUGACUUCCACUUAUCUGGUACACUAAAUGAUCUCUAGCUAAUUUUUAACUAUUGAUUAGUACACUGAGAUGAAUUCUAUUGGUCUCAGAGUGCAAGAGAUUUCCUGGAUGCCUCAACUAUAUGCAUACUUGUAUUAUAUUUGACACCCUCAUGAAAUGUACUAGAUGGCGUAUUCUUCCGUGUAGCUUAAAAUUCUUAAAACAAAUGUCCCUAAAAUAGCAAGGUGAAAUCUUGAUUUUUCUUGCUGUGAACAAAUGCAUCAUAAUUAAUUUCCCUUAUUGUAUCAAUAUCAUCACGGGCAUCACUAGCCAUCAGACUACUGAUAGUUCGCAACUAUCAGACCAGUCCAAGGCCGUUGGGUCAGAUGCCGGACGUACGCUCGAUCUGGUAGUCCGCUUGUUUGAUUAGAUGCUUCCAAUCCCUAAUUUGUUGCUGCUUCCUAAUCGCUCCCGCAAUGCACGCCCUGCAUCCCUGCGUCUCUCUCCAUCCCGAAUAUUACUUCCUUGCAUGGUUCCCUCGAAAUCAUGGAAACAUGGCGCCUGAUUCUUUCCAAGUUUGUUUCCUAACGAGUGCUUCCAUAAACCAGGGCGAAAACUACUUCCAGAAAUCACGUGAGUACAUGUUCUUGAUUUUCGCAUGAGGCUAUUUGCUUCCUCAUGAAGCACAUCUUGAUUCCAUUUUUUUAUUUAAAUUUACUUCCAUUCGUGUGGAUGUUCUUUGACAUCAUAAAAAAUGUUUUUCCAGUGUAAUGCAAAAUUAAACUUGCUUCCGUUUAUCAAUGAGUUUGCGCCCAUAGUGAACUAAACUUGCUACGGUUAAUACAUAUUUGUUUUCUACCUAGAGGAUUGCACCACCAAAAUAAGACAUUCUUCCUAUAAAAAUAACCAUUAUCAAGCAUAUUAGGGAUGUGAUUCCAAGAAAUACAAAUAUGCUUUGCUUUCAUCAUCUGAAAAUCAUUCUUCCAACACUACAAACUAUGCUUCAUAAUCCAGUCAUUUUUUUCUCUCAAAGCAGUUUCAUGUGUAUUGUUUUAUUUUUUUAGGUAUGACUCCAUGUGUUAUGACCGCCGUUUUUUGGCUUACUAGAGGUUUAGUUGCUUUGUACAUAGCUUGUAGGAUUCCUGCCUACUAUGUCGCUCCGCAGCUACGGUCCUGUCGAAGCCCCUCCCUGCUCUGCUCCAUCCAUCGUGUCCGGCCUAGCCUCGAUGACUUCUUUUGUCCCACAAAUCUGUGGGUUUUGACAUCGCGAGCCACAAGAGUUGGUGAGGACCAGAGAGGCCAGCACCAUCGAGGGUACGAUGCCCUUGCCCUUGACCUUUGACAGCCGAGUGUGCAUCUUGCUUGUUUGCUUGCAGCACGAUGACAAAACAAUGAGCAAUGAAAUGCUUGAUCUCACGUCGCACGCCAUGCCCCCAUCGACGACCGUGGCAUGCUCACAAUCAGUAAAGCAAGAUCUUUCGCUCAAGUUAGUUCUGCAGGAAUUUAGGAAGCAUGUGUAGUAUGAUUUGGGUACAAACAUGGCGCCUACAAAAUAAUAUGAAACAUGGAAAUGAAGCAAACUAAACAAGGUGUAGAAGCACAGUUGUUAAGUACAUGAAUCAAACCAUACACUAUUAAGAAGCAUAACCAUGGUCCAUAUAUGAAGCAAACUAUGCACCAUGAAGAAGCACAACUAUGAUACAAUUGAAUCAUGAAAACUGGAUACAUCGUAUUCAUGUAAUCUCAACAUAAUUUCUACAUAGUGGAAGCACAUAUAAGAAAAAUGGGGUGCAAAAUAUCUAUGCACAGUCAUUCAAAUUAAGACAAGCGGUGACAUGCAUCUUGUCCAUAAUAUGUGUGAAAUUUAGGAAGCAUGAUUUAGUUGUUCAUUAAAUAAAAACAUGAUGCCUACAAGAACGUGCAAAGGAUUGGCAGAAAGCAGAACUGAACACGACGUAGAAGCACAAGUUUGAUAUGUACGAAGCAAAGUGGACUCAAUGUAGAAGCAUUGGCAUGAUAAAUGAAACAGAGUUUAACCAGCAAUGGUGUAGUAGUACUAUAUGUAUGUAUGAAACAUGAAAAGCUGGAAGCAUUGUACGGAUGCAAUCUCGACAUACUUUCUAUAUAACGAGGAUAGUCAUGAAAAGGUUGGAUGAGGAUGGUAUGGCGGAUUCGCGCGACCAGCAGCGUGUGCUCCCUUCACCAACUUUGAACAUAGACAACAAAGAGGGGAAAAAGAGCGACAAAAAUCUUCUCGCUUCUCACUUAUAUUGCAGCCAAAAUUGAGAAGCACAUGUACAUAUGUACAUACCAAAUUCAGAAAUAUUACUCUGAUUCAGUCAUAUAAUACACAAUGGUGUGGCCAAAAUAAUAAAUGAGUUAUACAAAUACACAAUGGAGGUGUACAAAAUUCAUCAAACAACACUGGUGACAUACAAACAUGUUAGAAAUCAGAGAGGGCUAUAUCAAGAUUUCCCAGAAUUACCUAGGUCAGAUGAGGAUGCUACCUGCAGAGGAGAUGGGGGGCGACUCCAGCAAGGUUCCUCGCAUGAUGGAUUCGUUCGAAAACCGAGACGAAGCUCCGCCACGGUGGCCUUGGACGCCGGGGGAUCCGAAGCAAGUGUAGAUAACCGGGACGACCAUGGACUGCGAGCUCGCUUGUCAUGCUCGACGUGGCUAAUGCUGGCCACCACAAUCGUGUGGGACGACGCACCUGUGAGUUGUGUCUCAUGGGAAUUGGGGAGGCUGGUUCAUGGCGGCGAGAACAAGGGCAGGGCGGCUGGGGACGAGAUUGGCGAGCUCCGGAGCAGGCGACGGGGAUGGGAACGGGUGGGCUUUGGCAGGUGAGAUUAAUGCGGGAGUAGUUAUGGGUGGAAAAUCAGGCUGUUUUGGAAACUAAUCAAAGGAUUUUGGACGCAAUCUCGGCCGUGAGAUGAAAGAAGCACCGACGGUGUGCGAUUCGUCUGACAAACGUCUGCUAUCAUGGUAGGAAGCGUUUCCAGUCAUGGUUUCUGAUUUUCUGUUGUUUGAGUAUGUGAAUAAAUUCACUUUUGGUCCAUUUGCUAACUUGAUGAUUGCCUUCUUAUAGCUCACGAUGGAUCUGUGCAUCAAAGUGUGAUCAGGCAUAAACAUGAAAGAACUAGGAAGCAAACCAUACUUCAUGUGUGCAUUGAGAUGAACUGAUUUUUAGACGCAACAGUAAGUUGUAAAACUGAGAUUAACCUUUUAAAGUUAUAUCUGAUACAUCAGUAGUAGGUUACUUGAAGUAGUCAGCAGCAGUAUUUUUCUUUACAAAAGUUUAGCUAAGCCUGUCAUUGACGUGAGAUUAUGUGGGAUCUUCACUUGUUCUGUAAUUUUUUUUGUACACACAUGUGGGCCUCCUACUUAUAUUAUGCGAUGGAUGUGAUUUGGGGUUGGGGUU